rnacentral:rRNA from 1 species
GUUGUAUGGUUAAGUGAUUAAGCGUAGACGGUGGAUGCCUUGGCAGUCAGAGGCGAUGAAGGACGUACUAACCUGCGAAAAGCGAUGGUGAGCUGGUAAGAAGCAUUUGAGCCAUCGAUGUCCGAAUGGGGAAACCCACCUGUAUAAGCAGGUAUCUUAGCGUGAAUACAUAGCGCUAAGAGGCGAACUCGGGGAACUGAAACAUCUAAGUACCCGAAGGAAAAGAAAUCAAUUGAGAUUCCGGCAGUAGCGGCGAGCGACCCCGGAGCAGCCCUUAAGCGGCUUAGGCGUUAGGUGAACAGGUUGGAAAACCUGGCAAUAAAGGGUGAUAGCCCCGUAACCGACGGCGCCUUAGRCGUGAAAACGAGUAAGACGGGACACGUGAUAUCUUGUCUGAASAUGGGGGGACCAUCCUCCAAGGCUAAAUACUCCUGACUGACCGAUAGUGAACCAGUACCGUGAGGGAAAGGCGAAAAGAACCCCUGUGAGGGGAGUGAAAUAGAACCUGAAACCGUCUACGUACAAGCAGUGGGAGCCUCUUUUAUGGGGUGACCGCGUACCUUUUGUAUAAUGGGUCAGCGACUUAAUGUAAGUAGC